rnacentral:rRNA from 1 species
GGUUAAGCGACUAAGCGUACACGGUGGAUGCCUAGGCAGUCAGAGGCGAUGAAGGGCGUGCUAAUCUGCGAUAAGCGUCGGUAAGCUGAUAUGAAGCGUUACAACCGACGAUACCCGAAUGGGGAAACCCAGUGCAAUUCGUUGCACUAUUGCAUGGUGAAUACAUAGCCAUGCAAGGCGAACCGGGGGAACUGAAACAUCUAAGUACCCCGAGGAAAAGAAAUCAACCGAGAUUCCCCUAGUAGCGGCGAGCGAACGGGGAAGAGCCCAGAGUCUGAAUCAGUUUGUGUGUUAGUGGAAGCGUCUGGAAAGUCGCAGGGUACAGGGUGAUACUCCCGUACACAAAAACACA